AUCCAGCUGACGAAUCCCAAAUAGGACAAAACACUCAUCCUGGAU
rnacentral:hammerhead_ribozyme from 1 species